rnacentral:tRNA from 1 species
GUUAAAGUGGCAGAGCCCGGAAACUAUGCAAAAGGCCUAAGCCCUUUAAACAGAGGUUCAAAUCCUCUCUUUAACU